rnacentral:rRNA from 1 species
CAGCCGCCGCGGUAAUACCGGCGGCCCGAGUGGCGGCCACUAUUAUUGGGCUUAAAGCGUCCGUAGCCGGGUUGGGAAGUCCUCCGGGAAAUCUGGCCGCUUAACGGUCAGAAUGCCGGAGGAUACUCCCAGCCUAGGGAGCGGGAGAGGCCGAGGGUAUUCCCGGAGUAGGGGUGAAAUCCUAUAAUCCCGGGAGGACCACCUGUGGCGAAGGCGCUCGGCUGGAACGCGUCCGACGGUGAGGGACGAAGGCCAGGGGAGCAAACCGGAUUAGAUACCCGGGUAGUCCUGGCUGUAAACGAUGCGGACUUUGUGUCGGACAAGCUAUGAGCUGGUCCGGUGCCGGAGGGAAACCGUUAAGUCCGCCGCCUGGGGAGUACGGCCGCAAGGCUGAAACUUAAAGGAAUUGGCGGG